GUAGUACGGCAAAGGUACACUUGAAAGUUGUAUAGUAAACAUGCGCCGUUAAAUAAUUGUCUUUUAUUUUGAACACUUUUUUCUUGUGUAGAAAAGCAAAAUAAAAAACAGUGCAAGAAGAGUUGGCGUGUGGGCUGCAAUCGCAAAAAGUCGGGCUUUUUCUGUAUUUAGCCCGUGAUUUAAGUGCGUGUGUUACGACUUAAAAGGACAAAAUACGUUUGUUACAAGUUAACGAAAAAAUACAAGUUUCUUCGACUAAUACACCGCGGCCAAACAAGCGUUUAGCUUUAUUUAGGUAUAAAAAUACUAUAUUGUGAUGGCGACGACAGCAUCAACAGUGGCACCAGCGACAGCACAAGCUACAAGUGUCGUAGUGCUGGAUCGCGGCAACAACACAACUUGUACUGUAAACUUACAUGGUG